rnacentral:rRNA from 1 species
UACGGAGGGUGCGAGCGUUGUCCGGAAUCAUUGGGCGUAAAGGGCGCGUAGGUGGCUUCUUAAGCGUGCGGUGAAAGCCUGGGGCUCAACCCCGGGUCGGCCGUGCGAACUGGGGGGCUGGAGCACUGUAGAGGCAGGCGGAAUUCCGGGUGUAGCGGUGGAAUGCGUAGAGAUCCGGAAGAACACCGGUGGCGAAGGCGGCAUCCUGGACCGACACUGACGCUGAGGAGCGAAAGCCAGGGGAGCAAACGGGGAUUAAGAA